GAUGAACGCUGGCGGCGUGCCUAAUACAUGCAAGUCGAGCGAACAGACGAGGAGCUUGCUCCUCUGACGUUAGCGGCGGACGGGUGAGUAACACGUGGAUAACCUACCUAUAAGACUGGGAUAACUUCGGGAAACCGGAGCUAAUACCGGAUAAUAUAUUGAACCGCAUGGUUCAAUAGUGAAAGACGGUUUUGCUGUCACUUAUAGAUGGAUCCGCGCCGCAUUAGCUAGUUGGUAAGGUAACGGCUUACCAAGGCAACGAUGCGUAGCCGACCUGAGAGGGUAAUCGGCCAAACUGGAACGGAGACACGGUCCAAACCCCUACGGGGGGCAGCAGUAGGGAAUCUUCCGCAAUGGGCGAAAGCCUGACGGAGCAACGCCGGGGGAGUGAUGAAGGUUUUCGGAUCGUAAAACUCUUUUAUUAGGGAAAAAAAAAUGUGUAAGUAACUAUGCACGUUUUGACGGUACCUAAUCAAAAAGCCACGGCUAACUACGG
rnacentral:rRNA from 1 species